UACGGAGGGUGCGAGCGUUGCUCGGAAUCACUGGGCGUAAAGCGCACGUAGGCGGAUCUUUAAGUCAGGGGUGAAAUCCCGGAGCUCAACUCCGGAACUGCCUUUGAUACUGGGGAUCUCGAGUCCGGGAGAGGUGAGUGGAACUGCGAGUGUAGAGGUGAAAUUCGUAGAUAUUCGCAAGAACACCAGUGGCGAAGGCGGCUCACUGGCCCGGUACUGACGCUGAGGUGCGAAAGCGUGGGGAGCAAACAGG
rnacentral:rRNA from 1 species